UUUUACAAAUUAUACUGUGCUCCAAAUUCUAUUACGUUACCGUUACAAUAGACAGCACGUGAGUUGACUAACUUUGUUUAGUUUAGAUAGAAAAUAUAGUCGUUGUGUUUACUACCUAGUUUUAGGCAAAUGACAUAGAUAAUACAUUAUAAAGGUAAUCAAACUGAUUCAAAUAAACAUAUAAAGGUUUUAUGUGAAUUAGUAAAAACAAAUAACAGAAUAAUCUUGAUACAAGGUUUGGAAGGGUCUAUGAAACUAAACUGGGA